ACACUGCGCAUGCGCAAGGAGUCCCGCCCCACCCACGAAGCGUUUCACCCAAAGUUAUCUAUUGCCCCGCACACCACUCGGAACCUGCCAGUGACCACGACCCACCAAGAGCGGGAAAGAAAUCCCGGUGGAGGCUCCGCUGGCUUCUCCAGGAAUGACAAGGAUGCCUUCCUGGUGGGAGGCUCGGAACCCUCCGUUGCAGUCCUUUGAGAGCCGCGGUGAGCAUCCUUAUCCUUUUGGACAGACCAGGAAGGGCCCGGCCAUCCCCACUUCCAGGCUGGACUCCUCAGAGGUGCAGGUUGACACUCUCUGAAGUGGAUUCUAAGUUCCCAGUCUGCCGAGCCUGAGCAGUACUACACUACGCGGUACAAGUGCAGCCUGGCACACUCGUUCCACACGCGGCUCCUCGCCAGCAAGCCCAUUCCCAGGUCUUCAUGCAAAUGUCAUUAUCUCUGUGAGACCUAUUUAUGAAAACAAGCAAGCAAAAAAGCUUCCACAUUCUCUCCCAUAUAUAUUAGCUCGCUUGCACUGCCAGAGCUAAUGGACUGAAUGACUUAAACAACAGAAUUGUACUUUCUCAGUUGUGGAGACUGAAGUCCAUGAUCAAGGUGUUGGUUGGUUUGGUUUUUCCUGGGGCUUCUCGCCUUGGCUUGCAGUUGGCCACAGGUGGUCAGGCUCAUUAUGGAUGAUGAGCUUUCAAAAAAGAAAAAAGAUGGAAAUCACCAACUAUGCUGCCUACUGAAUGAAUAUUUCCUCGUAGCAUGUGCAGAAUCAAGGAAAAUUAGAUUUGUGCACUGUAUAAUCUACCAACAGCCUACUUUCCUACUGUUUUAGUCUAGGUUAUUCUUUAAAAAGCAGAGCCUGAAACAAAGGUAAUGACAUUCUGUUUGGGAAUUUAAUCCCAGGGAGGAGGAGUGAAAGAGAAACCAAGAGGGGAAAAAGGAAAAGAUCGAAGCAAAACAAGGUAAUGCUUUCAAGUGGUACACUGCUGUAAUGCUUAUAUAAUGCAGAACCUUCUCAAGAAUCUGUCUCAAAACUGUCUUUCUGAGAGAUGAAAGGGAUAAGUAUUUUUAUGUCAGUAGCCACCUCCUUGGUGUUGACAGCUGCAUUAACUCCCCCAUUGGUCUGGAUUGGUACAGGACAUCACACCUUGCUGCAACAGAGAAACUUUGGGACAGGAGGCUUGAUUCUUGGUGCAUGCUUGACAUGUGGCACUGUCAGCAUGAAGCAGAAUAAAACCUUACAGACUGUUCAUCAGAACUUCAGCUAGAAUCAGGUUGAAAAAAAUUUGAGAGUAUACAAAAGGUAUUUUUAAGCCUGAAUAAUACACAGUUAGACUGUCUAAACUGGUUUCCUCUCUUCUUUCUAUAACCAUUAUAUGUUAUCCAGAACAAAUUUGAAAGAAGGGUUAAAUAGGAAGAUUAAACAUACUGGGGGUUGUAUGUUUAUACCAGUUUUAACCUCAGGUUUAUAAAAAAGAGAAAGUGACAGUGGAACUUGGAAAACUGAAAAUGAUUGUACUUUAAAAAUUUGACCAUUGAGAUAUUAGAUACUGUCUAAACUUCUGUCAUAUCAGAAAUAGUCAUGAAUUGUUUAGAGAAAAAAUGAAGAAUAAAACUAACCAUUUCUUGUAUCACCAUGAACUUUAUAAAUCAAUGUUAUUAACUUUUCACAGGAUACUAUUUUCUACAGUCAUACAACACUAACGAUACAAAGCUUACAACUAAUGAAGAGAAACAGGCAGAAACAUAAGAAGAAAAAUAAUUGGGACCACAUAUAGGGUUGGCAUUAAUGUUGGUUGGAUUCUGGGGAAAUGGCAUGAUUUCAGUUGGCUUUCUUCUGUGAGGAUCAUCUUAUCUACUUUUAUUGGUCUGGAAUUUCCAUUAAUAUUUUUUUUAGUUAUUCAACGCAGUAUAUAUUGAGCUCCUAUUUAUUAGCACUUUGAACAUAUGAAUAAGACAUACAACAUUACAUCCAAAAACAUUAAAUUUCUGUUUUUUAAAGUAUACUCCAAAUAUUUAUUUAAAAACACUGACCAUAAGCUGAAUCACAAAUCUCAACAAAUUUCAAAAGAUUGGAUCAUAUUUAGUAUGAAUUAAACUAGAAGUUAAUUACAUAAAGAUAACAAAAGAAUUUCCAAAUGCUUAUAAACUAAGGAGCAUAUGCCUGAUGACCAAUGGAUCAAACAAUAAAUCAGACCAAAAUUUAGAAAAUAUUUCAAAAUGAAUUCUAAUGAAAAAACAGUAUCAAAACCAAAUGCCAUGAAAGCAAAUGCUUACAGGAAAUUAUAGCCCUAAAUGCACACAUUAGAAAUCGUACAAAUCUUAGCUGUUGCUGUUUAAAGAAGCCAGAGAGGAAAAUAAAUGGAGCAACUUUUCAAACAUUGGACACCUGGCAGCAAAGGAUUGAUAACUGAGAGAAGUACACAAGGAGAAACCUACCGUGGUCUUCAGUUUCUGCAGGUGAACACUCUGGAUCAAUGCAAGAGAAGGAACAUAAGCAGAGCAAUUUUGCCGAGUUAAGGAGAAAAAGACGAGUUGAGACUGGCAUGGCUUGAAUUUUCAGUGUCAGUGAAGUGGAUGGUAUGCAGAGAAAAAAACUGCAAAAAAUGAACAUAGAGAUCCCAUUAUGCCCAUUGCUGAGUGUUAAGCCUAUCAAUACUCAAAAGUUAACAUGAGAUUAGGAAAUAUUUAAUUUCCAUCUAGCUAUCUUGGAGAGUCCUCUCUGAGAGCUCCAGGGAUUCACCCAAGAUCCCUGAAAGGUUACAUAUAAUGUUGGUAGGGCUAACUUUCCUAUCUAAAACUGCACUGCCCCCCUACACACACACACACACACACACACACACAAGCAAGCUGAAUGGUAUAAAACCAAUCCUCAAGUAACUACCUGCCAGAACAAAAUCCAAAUUCAUUAGUUCUAGUUCUCCAAGAAGCACAUAUAGAUAGGAUUUGAUUUCUAAGAGAUUCUUUGGAGAAAUGCCUCUGGGAGUUGAAAUGGAGAAGAAGUACCUGUGAAGGUACAAGGUUUAACUUUAUGUGUGUCAACUUCACUGGGCCACAGAAGACCCAGAUAUCUGCUUAAACAUUUCUGGGGUGUCCAUGAGGGCAUUUCUGGCAGAGCAUGGUAUUUGAACACACUGAGUAAACAGACCAAUUCCCCAGUGUGGGUGGGUAUCAUCCCAUCUGCUGAGGGCCUGAAUAAAACAAAAAGAUAGAGGAAACAUUUUUUUCUUUGCCUGACUAUUGAGGCGGGACUCCAUCUUCUGCUCUUGGACUGGACUAACAGCCUCAGUGCUCUUGGCUCUCAGGUCUUCAGAAGGCAGAUUAUGGGACUUAGUCUCAAUAAUUGCAAGAGCUAGUUCUUUACGGUAAAUAUCUAGAUGGGUGGGUGAAUGAAUGGGUGGGUGAAUGGAUGGAUAGAUAGGGACAGACAGAUCCUAUUGUUUGUUUCUCUGGAGAACCCUGACUAAUAUAGAAGGAAAGCGGAGAAAGGACCAUUGAAUAGUGGGACAUUAUGCUGCCGCACAAUUACAGUCAAGUUUCAGGUCAGCUGAUGAAGAACACUGAAGCCAAAGUUUCUUAUUGGAGGAAUUAUAGUAGGGAUAAGCUUGCAUUAGUAUACCUGCUCUCUCGAUGAUUGUUCUAAUAUAGCCUUGGCAAGAAAAUAUCAGUGGGUUCAGAGAGCAGUAGCUGGGACACUUAGUCAUAUAAUCUCCCCUUAGCAAGAGAUCUGAGUGGUAAAUUUUCAUGACUCAGUUCAUCCCUUGUUCUGUACAUCUUCAUUUGAGCCUGGCUGCCAGGAAGAUGAAUAGACACCAGUGUCAACUUGAACCCUAGGCCAAAUAAUCCUAGAAAUGUUUGGAUAUUCUCUUUUGCCAGUGUUUUAUUUAGUCACUCUAAUAAUGACCAUGAGUCCAUUUGGGGAAGAACUUGAGGAUUCAUCACUACACACACGCACACACACACACACCAUUUGUAACAAGGUCUUUUCCUUUUUCUUCUAGGAACAUAGCACCUCUUCCAUCUGUGUAUUCUUUAUCUGAAAAUUCUCUCGAGUUUGGGAAUUGUGCAAGAAAUCAUGAUAUUUCAUUGGUGUGGUAUCUUCAAACUCUUUUCCAUUUUUACCUUAUUUGGCUAUAGUUAUUUGGUUACAGGUAUUAAGUAACAUCCUUGUUAUUUGCUCAUGUGUUCUGCCUAGAGGGGUGAUGCCUUCAAUUAAUCAUCUCACAAACAUGCUGGGAGUCAAGCCCACUUAACUACCCCUCCAAUUUCACCAGUUGUUAGACUAAUUACGGCCUCUUGGCUUGUGGUAUUAAGUUCCAGUCUUCAGGGCCCUCUAUUACUUCAGGGUCCAUUACCCCUGAAUGAUAUUAACAAGCCCAGCUCUGUGACUGCCUCAUCAUCAGACCUGUCUAAAAAGAAGAGCCAUCCACUUAUCCUAGUGAUACUGGGACCCUCACAUAGGCACAUUGUUGGUGGUCUCAGUUAAUUGUGUGUCUUCUGGGACCUCCCCUUGGAACAAAAUCUUGUAGGUUUUCUAGCCUCAUGUUAUCCAUUCCAGGAUGACCAUUUCACUCAGCCUUUUUAUUCCUUCUCCUGCCCUUUACCAGAUCAGUGUGGGCAUUUCAGUGUUGACCAUCUCUGUUUUUAGGCUUCCAAGACCUGCUGUAGCAUUGGAUUUGCUCUAUCCCCUGGGGUUCUUGCUAGGAACAACAAGUGUCUGAGACUAGAUAAUUGAUAAAGAACAGAAAUUGAUUUCUCCCAAUUCAGGAGGAUAGAAAUCCAAGGUCAAAGAACCAGUAUUCAGAGGGGACAAACAUUGUGUUCUCUCAUGACUGAAGAGUUAGAAGGGCAAAGGGGGCUUUGCCCUUUGAAUGGUCAUGGUCCCAUUCAUGAGGGUUCCAGCCUCAUGGCUUAAUCAACUCCUAAACAUACCACUUCUUAAUACUAUUACAUUGACAAUUGGGUUUUGACAGUGAAUUCGUGGGGGGGGGGGCAUUCAAGUCUACCACAGAUUUGAUAAAUACUGUGCCAUGUCAAAGUUCCUGUAAAAUAAAUAAAUUCUGAUUUUCUAACUUAAUGUUCUGGCUCCUUAAAUAAAGGAAUGUUAAAAGUCA